CUUUCACCAGACAUGGUGAAUGCCAUAACACGGCUGACAGAGAAAAGACAAGACUGUGGUGUUCUGGCAGAAAACAUAUUCCUGUUUGCCAGACCUCAUUGUCUGACUCCCUACAGAGGACAGGACUGUUUGAGGAUUUAUGCGACUGAAUGUGGGGCUGAAAACCCUGAACACCUACGUUCAACGCAGUUGCGCAAACAUGUCGCAACUUUGUCUCAGAUCUUAAACCUCAAGAAUCACGAGUUAGACCAAGUUGCCAACUUCCUAGGUCAUGAUAUUCGUGUUCAUCGCGAAUAUUAUAGACUUCCAGAGGCUACUACCCAGCUUGCCAAAAUAUCCAAACUACUGAUUGCCAUGGAGAAAGGGUCUCUCAAAAGCCUUCAAGGCAAAACACUUGAAGAGAUUGAAAUCGAAGAUAACCUACAGUUGACAGAUUCAAGUGAAGAAAGUGAGGUCGGAGCGGAGCGUGAGGAGGUCGGAGCGGCGCGUGAGGAGGUCGGAGCGGCGCGUGAGGAGGUCGGAGCGGCGCGUGAGGAGGUCGGAGCGGCGCGUGAGGAGGUCGGAGCGGCGCGUGAGGAGGUCGGAGCGGCGCGUGAGGAGGUCGGAGCGGCGCGUGAGGAGGUCGGAGCGGCGCGUGAGGAGGUCGGAGCGGCGCGUGAGGAGGUCGGAGCGGCGCGUGAGGAGGUCGGAGCGGCGCGUGAGGUCAAUGAAGGAAAUCUUGUAUAUCCACAGAUUGGUAAGUACAAUGUGAUUAGUCUCAACUUUGUUCAAUUUAUGAAAUCACAUGACUAAUAGACUUUAUUACAGAUUCUAUAGAUACUAGAAUGAUGAAGAAAGUUGUCAAGGAACCUCCAGCACAAAGUAAAAAUGGAGCGGGUAAGGUCAUUGAACCCAACAGAAUACUAAACAAGGAGAUGAAGCCAAGCAGUAAGAAGAAAACAAAUAAACAAUCUGCUUCUCUGGAAAAUGCAAGGAGGGUCAAAAAGCAUCCUUGGUCUCCCACGGAGGUUGCUGCGAUAAUGAAGUAUUUUGGCGAACAUAUCAAAAAAGGAAAACUGGCCACUAUUAUCGAAUGCCAGCAAUGCAAAACUGCAGAAGAUCCUGCUCUGGCUGGUCGUUCUAUUCAAAACAUCAGAGAUUUUGUGAGGAAUCGGGGCGUGUCGUUGAAGAAAAAAGAAAAUCCUAUGUAGAGGAGUCUACAUAACUCCAAAGUACUUCUUGGAGGAGUUACAAAAGAUAUUUUGUAUGUUUUGGUUUCUCAUUUAUUUAUUUUAGAAUUUUACUAUUAGAAGAUUGGUAAAUUCAUUUUGUUGACACUGUUUUAGUGCAUCUGAUCUAAGAGGACAUAUAAUUUUAUAUUGCCAGUUAUUUUCAUUUCUGUUAACAAAACAAUCCUGUUUUUGUAAAAUGCAC
ensembl:lncRNA